rnacentral:rRNA from 1 species
AUUGAACGCUGGCGGAAUGCUUUACACAUGCAAGUCGAACGGCAGCACGGGGCAACCUGGUGGCGAGUGGCGAACGGGUGAGUAAUACAUCGGAACGUGCCCAAUCGUGGGGGAUAACGUAGCGAAAGUUACGCUAAUACCGCAUACGAUCUACGGAUGAAAGCGGGGGAUCGCAAGACCUCGCGCGAAUGGAGCGGCCGAUGUCAGAUUAGGUAGUUGGUGGGGUAAAGGCUCACCAAGCCAACGAUCUGUAGCUGGUCUGAGAGGACGACCAGCCACACUGGAACUGAGACACGGUCCAGACUCCUACGGGAGGCAGCAGUGGGGAAGUUUUGGUACAAUGGGCGCAAGCCUGAUCCAGCCAUUCCGCGUGCAGGAUGAAGGCCUCGGUUGUAAC